rnacentral:rRNA from 1 species
CUAUACAUGCAAGUUGAGCGCUGAAGGUUGGUACUUGUACCGACUGGAUGAGCAGCGAACGGGUGAGUAACGCGUGGGGAAUCUGCCUUUGAGCGGGGGACAACAUUUGGAAACGAAUGCUAAUACCGCAUAAAAACUUUAAACACAAGUUUUAAGUUUGAAAGAUGCAAUUGCAUCACUCAAAGAUGAUCCCGCGUUGUAUUAGCUAGUUGGUGAGGUAAAGGCUCACCAAGGCGAUGAUACAUAGCCGACCUGAGAGGGUGAUCGGCCACAUUGGGACUGAGACACGGCCCAAACUCCUACGGGAGGCAGCAGUAGGGAAUCUUCGGCAAUGGACGAAAGUCUGACCGAGCAACGCCGCGUGAGUGAAGAAGGUUUUCGGAUCGUAAAACUCUGUUGGUAGAGAAGAACGUUGGUGAGAGUGGAAAGCUCAUCAAGUGACGGUAACUACCCAGAAAGGGACGGCUAACUACGUGCCAGCAGCCGCGGUAAUACG